GGACACACAUUGAGAUUACCUAGAUGACAUUAAUAUGCACACUCCAAUCCGAGACAGAUGGAAUAAAAGGCUUUCCUCUACCUUUAUUGCUUUCUCCCUCUCUUUUCUCUCUGAAAGAACCUUCUUGGCUGGCUCUCAGUGGAGUUGAAUUGGUAUGGCUUUAAUUGAAUCAACUAGCUCUUUUCUUGUGCCGCACUUAUGAGGCCAGAGCAGCCAAAUGGCUUGAUGACAAGGUAAUGGCAGAAGAAUUGAAUGAGCGACGCUGCCAGAGGGGAGAGAAAACCCAAUGCAGAACAUUUACAGGAAGUGCCACCCAUUGUUUGAAGAUAUUCAGGUUUUUGGUGAACAAUCAGUGUGAGGCUGACAUAGAAGGUCUCGACCUGAUUGCUGUGAAAGUUAAGGACGCAGAGGAGAGAUUGAGAGAUGCAUUCCUUCUAAAGAAUCUGGACAGAGACAAUAGAACAGCGCAUGGGCACUUGGGGAACAGAAGGGUGACACAGAGGGCAGCUCUCAUCCACAACAACUCUCCUCCUUUGAAAACAAAAACCCCAACCUGUUACUGCUUCAGCCUGUCUGUGGGAGGGGAUGCUCGUAAUAAACGUCCCAGCCCCCUCGUUAGGCAUUACGAGGUUGGAGGGAAGAUUAGCAGGAUUAAGACUGGCUCACAUAUGCUGCUCUUCACUAUUGGCAUUCAACACAACACAAGCCCAACUGCCACCCAGACGGGGAGAGAAAGAGAAAGACAGGGUUUUAGGUCCCCCACCCACUGGAGCUCAUUGGUUCUUGAUGGGCUGUCGGAAAAGCGUUGACAUUGUCCCGGUGUCUUGGCCCGGUUGGUGGGGAGGAGGGACCUACUAUAAAAUACCCCUCGUCACUCCCGGGCGUGCCAAACACAAACAGUGCACGAGUGAACUGGAAUAACGAGUAAAUUCUGCAAAGUCACACACCAGCACGCGCUUGCACCUGCUACCGGUAAGUUUGAAUAUAUAGAAAAUAUUGAUUAAUUUGUAAAAAUGUAUAAAAGCAAUGUGCAUUGGUAAAGGCAAGCAUUAUUAAAAAUAUUAGCCUAAAUAAUGUUCUCUUUGUAAUUAUUCAGUGGAGUAAUUUAUUUUACUGUUUUGGUAUAUUAGAUAAUCGCUAACUUCUGGUCAUAAUUCUAUUUUUAUAGUUUGCUGAACUGGCAAAUUGUGUAACAAACUUUACAGCUUUACUUGUAAACUUAUUGAGUUGGCGAGUUGCAAAGAAUCUCUAGGACAUAAUAGGACUUUAAAUCUGCUGUACUACAUUUAAUCAAACCGUAUUACUUAGUUUUUAAUUUUUCGUUUUUAUUUCGUAUUACAUUUAUUUUAAGUUUUAGUUUUUAACCAUUCACUUCUUUUAAAGGAAUAUUGACAUCUGCGAGAAU
ensembl:lncRNA